GCGGGUCUUACUGUCACUGUGACAACGCAACGAGAAUUCGUGGAAAGAUGGAAAUAGAUGUAGCAUCCUUGCAGGGACGCGAGACUGGGAAUUCAAAUACUGCUUGGUGACAGUCUUUGUAAUAGGCACGGCUACAAGAGAACUGGAAUACGAAGUGAAUACCGCUGCGGUGUUUACAUAGCUGCAAGGCCACGGAUUCACACAAUGCAAGGUGUACAAACUAAAGGCACCAUGGAGCUGAAGAGUAGUUUAUCUAUUCAAGAGACAGAAAGGACGAGGACCAUCAUGAUCCUUGUGAUGAGGUGGAACCAAUCUCUCUUCUCUAUGGAGGCUGAUGUCACCAGGGUGCGUGGGCAUGUGGCAGGGAAGCUGGGCUACCUGCUGUGAAAAUGUGUAGUCUCUUACCAGCCAGAAAUUAGAGCAAUACAAAUAACAUACUAAUAUAAGCUGUGCAGAACCUGCGUGUAAUAGAUUGCUGAGCUGCACGCUGACCAGUGAAGAUAUGUUCUGUGGAUUGAAUGUUGGCUACAUGCUCUCACAUUUCUAUGGAUUUUUUUUUUUAAUGUCAACCAUUUUAAAAUCAUGUUAAUGUAAAAGAUUUUUGUACGGAAUUGAUUUGGCUUCUUGCGUGAGAAUGAGGAGAGUGUUAGACUGGCUUUGUUGUCAACAUCCAAAUUUCCAUAUUACAUUGUUUAACAAAAUUCAUGCCAUUUUGCAGAACUGAUACUGUUAGUGUUCUCGGAAAUCUGGAAUAGUUUUUGGUUUAGUGCAGUAGUUAGUUCUGGUAAAAUUUGUAAGGUGACCAGAUUUCAGAUUUAGUUAGUGAUCAAAAUACCACUGAAAUCUCACUUGUUUUUAUCUAAUGUAUGAAUUAAAAAUACAUUCUUGUGACAAUUAUUAAUUAUUAUUAAUAAUAUAGGCUAUUAUAUAUUAAUAAUUAUUAUGAUGCCUGUAUUAAAACUCUAUCUGGAAUUAAAGGGUUA